CAGUACGUUCUUAGUCCGCAGCUGCGAAAGCCAAGUGCUGGUGUCACCAAUCAGGGUGUUGUUCACCUCUCCCAAGGGCGUUCGCUGUGGAUUUAGAUGUCAGUGUCAUGAACAACCACGCAAUAGGGUGUCCAAAGAGUCAUACAACCUAACGAGAAUGGCAGCGAUGCGACACCCAAUCUGUUCAUCUGAGAAGGGAAGAAGGGAAGGCAAAAGGCGGACUCUAAGGAACUGCGUAGAGGCCAAAACAGAUGGCCUUGAGCACCUGUAUCCUAGCCACGUCAGAGACUGGAUCACCAGUUCUUCAUGCGAAGGGAAAGGUCAGUUUAUGUGGGACUC
ensembl:lncRNA